rnacentral:rRNA from 1 species
AGAGUUUGAUCCUGGCUCAGGAUGAACGCUAGCUACAGGCUUAACACAUGCAAGUCGAGGGGCAGCAUUGGAGUAGCAAUACUUCAGAUGGCGACCGGCGCACGGGUGAGUAACACGUAUCCAACCUGCCGCUUACUCGGGGAUAGCCUUUCGAAAGAAAGAUUAAUACCCGAUGGUAUAAAGAGUUCGCAUGUUCUCUUUAUUAAAGAAUUUCGGUAAGCGAUGGGGAUGCGUUCCAUUAGAUAGUUGGCGGGGUAACGGCCCACCAAGUCUACGAUGGAUAGGGGUUCUGAGAGGAAGGUCCCCCACAUUGGAACUGAGACACGGUCCAAACUCCUACGGGAGGCAGCAGUGAGGAAUAUUGGUCAAUGGACGAGAGUCUGAACCAGCCAAGUAGCGUGAAGGAUGACUGCCCUAUGGGUUGUAAACUUCUUUUAUAAGGGAAUAAAGUGAGGGACGUGUCCCUUUUUGUAUGUACCUUAUGAAUAAGGAUCGGCUAACUCCGUGCCAGCAGCCGCGGUAAUA